GUGCUCACUCGCCAGCACAUAUACUAAAUGGAACGAUACAGAGAAGGUUAGCAUGCCCUUGCGCAAGGAUGACAUGCAAAUUCUGAAGUGUUCCAUAUUUUU
rnacentral:snRNA from 1 species